AAUUGGAAAUGAGGCAGUCCAGCUGAAUUCCAGCUGGAUUAUGCCAGCUGGAAUUCAGCUGGACUGCCUCAUUUCCAGUUC
rnacentral:pre_miRNA from 1 species